CUAUAGAUUGAAACGGAACCAUCAAGGCGAAGAGCAGACUGAACGAUGGAAAGGUGGACCGUAAAACACCCCUCCAACCCUACCAAAAAUCAAUUCACGCUCUCUCAGUCUCACUUUUCUCGCUCUCUCUCUAGAACCCUAGCUUCCUCCAUCGCUCUUCAAUUGAACGAUGAAGAACCAGAGAUGAAGAACAAAUGACGAUCAAAUCGAAGGAGAACACCGAUUUUGAAGGAACCCGAACCGAUUUGCAGGAACUGGUAUGAUUUUCAGUUCUUGUUGUAGACCGAAACAACUAGAAGUUAAUCAAUCAAUAUUAGGAGAGGAUGAAGAUGUGACUCCAACCUAUGAAGAGCCUCCUACUCAGCAGCGGACUCGCAACCGGAGCUGUGAUUACAGGAAGGGUUGAAACACUUUUCAGGGUUUGUCUUGUACACCACCAAGGAACUCACCUGGCAAAAGCCCUGAUGAUAUGCCGAUAAUUGGUAGGGUUGGUAGCUACAGCUCAGCACAAUCUUCAAGCUCAUGUUCAUCGUAUAAAGGCAUACCGAAUGUCACCAGCAAGUACAGAGAGGAGGCAAGAUGGGUCACCCACAAGGUCACCAAGAACUGGAUCAACGCUCUUCUGCUUGUCGGCCCCGUUGUCGGCGUUCAUACGAAGUAAUUAGGGAUUCGAUUGAUUAGAGAUUGCUUUUUUGCUUAAUUUGUUUUUGUGGAGAGAUGACUAAAGACGAAGUCAAUCCGGCGAGCCUCCGGUGUCUCCUUUAGCACGUGACUUGUACCAAUCGAAGGCUAUGGCGGUGUUCGAUUCUCUAAUCGUGCGUCGGUAGUAGUUCUGUCAAGACUAAAGUGUGAAAAGCGUUAGGGCUUUCGGUAAAUGGAACAACAGUGAUAGUGUGAAAAGCGUUCGGUUCUUCGGAUGAUUAUCAGUGAAUGUGGUGAACAGCGGUGGUACUCCGGCGAUGCCAAUGAUGCAACAGUGAUGGUGGUUGUCUGUUACUCCUCAACAAUGCAGUCCCGACGAGUAUUCGAUACAUAGCCCCUGAGCUGGUGCCAGUUCAAUAGCUGCGAAGGCGAACAAGAAUUCACCUCUGGUGACGCCGUUACAGAAGAGCUUGUCAAGUCCGCAACUAAACAUACCGUCGAUUUCCCUAUUACCGAGCAUCUUGUGACAAAAAUUGCAGACUUGCACAGUGGUAUGGGAGGCCAGGGUGGUUGGGUAUGAGGUGACAUAUGGAGCCGGGUUUGUGCCUGCGGCUGAAGAUGGCUACACCGUGAUCGUCCAAAAAUCAAGAAAGGUUACAGCCUCAGUUAUCUGCGGGAGCUUCAAAUGUGGUGAACCAGGCAAGGUGGUCUUCUUAACCUUUGACAAUCAAACCUCCAAAAAGAAGAAGGUCCUCCCUCCUAUACAGAAGCAAGAUCAAGGUGACAUCUGAUUAAGCCAGAUCAAGGGAUGUUUGUGAAAUUACCAAAAGGUUUUAUUUUAUUGUUAUAUUAAUUUUUUAUUCAUGAAUUUGUGGAAUCUUUUUACAUGGGAUUCUUUUUUGGGAUUUGUCUGUUUACAAAUACUAUGUUAAUUGUUGGACUUUUGGACCAUGGAAAGUAGAGUAAAAAUAAGUUCCUGCUGGUUUAAGCA